rnacentral:lncRNA from 1 species
GGACGCUCCCGCGCGACCCGGGGCUCCCCACCCCCCGCUCCCCGCUGCGUGCCGCCUCCUCCGGCCGCCGGGGCUGAUGCAUUAACCAUGAUGUGGCUGCCGGUGAUGCGUUUGUGCGGAGCAGGCAGCGCGGGCGGGUGAGCGCGCAGAGCGCCGGCCCCUCCGCUCCGCUCCGCGGAGCCACCGCCAGCCGCGCGGAGCCGAGCCGCGGCCGCCCCGCUCUCGAUGGCGCCGGAGGAGGAAGGAAAGCUUCCCCCUUGCACCUGCUCCGUCGAGACUUGUCAUCUGAAUGUGGAGGAGAGCUAUAAAUCAUGUCGCGUGUGCGCGGCGGAGCCGGCUUCCGCGAGCCCUCGGACUGUGUGUCCCCGUGCUGAGCUUGUGUUUCCCGCUAGGAAAAGGCUGAAACUCAGCAAUGCAGCUCACCAUUACCAAUCUUAUCCCUCUAUGGUUGCUUCCACCUUUCUAUCACCUGGAUGCUCAAGGUAUGUGGAUUUGCCCUUGUAAUAUCACUGUAAGGUGAAAU